UACAGAGGGUGCGAGCGUUGUCCGGAAUCACUGGGCGUAAAGGGCGCGUAGGUGGCGACCCAAGUCGAUGGUGAAAGCUCGCCGCUCAACGGCGAGUCGGCCACCGAUACUGGGUUGCUGGAGCACUGUAGAGGCUCAUGGAAUUCCGGGUGUAGCGGUGGAAUGCGUAGAGAUCCGGAAGAACACCGGUGGCGAAGGCGGUGAGCUGGGCAGUUGCUGACA
rnacentral:rRNA from 1 species